rnacentral:rRNA from 1 species
UACGAAGGGGGCUAGCGUUGCUCGGAAUUACUGGGCGUAAAGCGCACGUAGGCGGCUCUUUAAGUCGGGGGUGAAAUCCUGGAGCUCAACUCCAGAACUGCCUUCGAUACUGGAGAGCUUGAGUCCGGGGAGAGGUGAGUGGAACUGCGAGUGUAGAGGUGAAAUUCGUAGAUAUUCGCAAGAACACCAGUGGCGAAGGCGGGUCUCUGGGCCGAUACUGGACGCUGAGGA